AUACCACAGUGUGCAGUCGCUGUUUACCAUUGCUGGUAGACAGAGGAAAGUCCGAACAUCACAGGACAGGGUGCCGGCCGAGAGCUCUGCUCAAGUCCGGGAGUACAGGACUGAAAACCUGUACUACAGAUAGUGCAACAGAAAACAGACCGCUCCGGAAUUCCGGAGUAAGGGUGAAACGGUGGUGUAAGAGACCACCAGAUGCGUCAGUAAUGGCGCAUGCUUGGCAAACCUCCCCGAUGCAAGGCUAAAUAGGGCAGCUUUUCCAAAAAGGAAAAAGAGCGGUCCGUUCAAUUCUGAACAGAGAGUUGCCGGGUGAGCCGCAUCAGAUAAAUGACUGCAACUCUCCUCCGGUCACGACCGGAAGAGAGAACAGAAUUCGGCUUACAUCUGCGGUAUCGGC
rnacentral:RNase_P_RNA from 19 species